rnacentral:lncRNA from 1 species
AUUGAAAUGUUUGAUAAAACUAACCAACCAUCACGUUUCCUUCACAUCCCUCCACAUUGAGGCCUUUUUCUUUGCCACCGGCAGCGCCAACCUUGAUCCCAUGACCCUUGUCUCCAGCUUCUUCAGCUUGGACAACCCCAACCCCAUGACCCUCCACCAAGGCCUUCUUCUCCGUUGAUUUUUGUUUGCACUACCUUCAUUUUCAUAUCUAUUUUGUAAUUUCUUCAAAAAAGCCUCUUGGAUCUGAUUUUGGUAUUUAGUUUUAAAUUUCUUCAAUUUUUGUUUUUUCAAUUUCUAUGAUUUUGUUGUUCUUG